rnacentral:rRNA from 2 species
AUCAUGAUUUACAUUUGAGUGAGUGGCGAACUGGUGAGUAACACGUGGGAAACCUGCCCAGAAGCGGGGGAUAACACCUGGAAACAGAUGCUAAUACCGCAUAACAACUUGGACCGCAUGGUCCGAGUUUGAAAGAUGGCUUCGGCUAUCACUUUUGGAUGGUCCCGCGGCGUAUUAGCUAGAUGGUGAGGUAACGGCUCACCAUGGCAAUGAUACGUAGCCGACCUGAGAGGGUAAUCGGCCACAUUGGGACUGAGACACGGCCCAAACUCCUACGGGAGGCAGCAGUAGGGAAUCUUCCACAAUGGACGAAAGUCUGAUGGAGCAACGCCGCGUGAGUGAAGAAGGGUUUCGGCUCGUAAAACUCUGUUGUUAAAGAAGAACAUAUCUGAGAGUAACUGUUCAGGUAUUGACGGUAUUUAACCAGAAAGCCACGGCUAACUACGUGCCAGCAGCCGCGGUAAUACGUAGGUGGCAAGCGUUGUCCGGAUUUAUUGGGCGUAAAGCGAGCGCAGGCGGUUUUUUAAGUCUGAUGUGAAAGCCUUCGGCUCAACCGAAGAAGUGCAUCGGAAACUGGGAAACUUGAGUGCAGAAGAGGACAGUGGAACUCCAUGUGUAGCGGUGAAAUGCGUAGAUAUAUGGAAGAACACCAGUGGCGAAGGCGGCUGUCUGGUCUGUAACUGACGCUGAGGCUCGAAAGUAUGGGUAGCAAACAGGAUUAGAUACCCUGGUAGUCCAUACCGUAAACGAUGAAUGCUAAGUGUUGGAGGGUUUCCGCCCUUCAGUGCUGCAGCUAACGCAUUAAGCAUUCCGCCUGGGGAGUACGGCCGCAAGGCUGAAACUCAAAGGAAUUGACGGGGGCCCGCACAAGCGGUGGAGCAUGUGGUUUAAUUCGAAGCUACGCGAAGAACCUUACCAGGUCUUGACAUACUAUGCAAAUCUAAGAGAUUAGACGUUCCCUUCGGGGACAUGGAUACAGGUGGUGCAUGGUUGUCGUCAGCUCGUGUCGUGAGAUGUUGGGUUAAGUCCCGCAACGAGCGCAACCCUUAUUAUCAGUUGCCAGCAUUAAGUUGGGCACUCUGGUGAGACUGCCGGUGACAAACCGGAGGAAGGUGGGGAUGACGUCAAAUCAUCAUGCCCCUUAUGACCUGGGCUACACACGUGCUACAAUGGAUGGUACAACGAGUUGCGAACUCGCGAGAGUAAGCUAAUCUCUUAAAGCCAUUCUCAGUUCGGAUUGUAGGCUGCAACUCGCCUACAUGAAGUCGGAAUCGCUAGUAAUCGCGGAUCAGCAUGCCGCGGUGAAUACGUUCCCGGGCCUUGUACACACCGCCCGUCACACCAUGAGAGUUUGUAACA